UCGGGAAUUUUUCGCAAUGGGCGCAAGCCUGACGAAGCAACGCCGCGUGGAGGAUGAAGGUCUUCGGAUUGUAAACUCCUGUCGACCGGGACGAAUGCACCCGACCUAAUACGUCGAAGUGUUGACGGUACCGGUGGAGGAAGCCACGGCUAACUCUGUGCCAGCAGCCGCGGUAAUACAGAGGUGGCAAGCGUUGUUCGGAAUUACUGGGCGUAAAGGGCGCGUAGGCGGCCUUAUAAGUCUCGUGUGAAAGCCCUCGGCUUAACUGAGGAUCUGCACGGGAUACUGUAAGGCUCGAGUUCGGGAGAGGAAAGCGGAAUUCCGGGUGUAGCGGUGAAAUGCGUAGAUAUCCGGAGGAACACCAGUGGCGAAGGCGGCUUUCUGGACCGACACUGACGCUGAGGCGCGAAAGCUAGGGGAGCAAACGGGAUUAGAUACCCGCGUAGUCCCUGAGCGGGCUGGCAAGGCGCAU
rnacentral:rRNA from 1 species